rnacentral:rRNA from 1 species
GGGGUUCAGACCUUAGUACGAGAGGACCGGGUCUGACGAACCGCUGGUGUUCCAGUUGUUCUGUCAAGAGCAGUGCUGGGUAGCUAUGUUCGGAAAGGAUAAGCGCUGAAAGCAUCUAAGCGCCAAGCCUAUCCCAAGAUGAGAUCUCCCUGAAGGGUCGUGGUAGACUACCACGUUGAUAGGUCUCCGGUGCAAGUGCAGUAAUGUAUUCAGCUGAGAGAUACUAAUAACCCGUUCGGCUUGAUCAUUUACUUUUCU